UUACUGGAAGAACCGUCUUACAGUUACAGUCACCUCCUGGUCAAUUCCCAACAUUCAAAAGCUAAAGAAACAGGCUCAGAGGAUGUUAUCUGAUUGGAUUAUGUUGUAUCUCUGGAGAGCACAGCUGAGAUCAGACUGUGUGUGUGUAACUCCACUAGACUACGAGGGUGCUUCUCAUAAAGGGUUGCAAGAUCAUAGUUCUCGGGGUGUUUAAAGGCAACACCUUCCGGAAGCCCCUGCACUACCACAGCCGACUGGUCUCGCAGCAUCUUCUCAUAUGGUACAGGUACCACUGUGGAUUUGCCUAAAGCUUUCCCUGGGGGAGAUGAAAAGCGGAUGAACAUCAUUCAAUGAAUGCGCAGGCCUACCCAACUAUGGAAUGAUGGAACAGAAGGCCUCACCAUGGACUCGAGAGCUGACAUGAGGAAUGUCACCACCAUCCUGCUCUCCGAGGACUCCUCAUCUUCAACGGGCAGGGUGGACAUUGCAACUUGGGCCAUGAUCCCUGUGCAGGAGAAGUAAGAAGAAAGUGAGUGGUAGAAAUCUGGUGUCCUGAACCCACAGCCAAAGCUGUGAGGGCCCCUCACGGGCUGCCUAAUUUACAGUUUUCUUGCUCUAGAGACAAAAUAAGGCUCAGAAACUAAGUAUUUGACUUGCCCCAACCCUCAUAAGAUAAAGAAUCUAUCCCCU
rnacentral:antisense_RNA from 1 species